UCAAUAUCCGCUUUUUAACUUCAAUUCCAUUUAAUGCUUCUUCAUUUGGGAGUACGUGAGAAGCCCAUCCCACCCAUCGUCUUUACAUACCUAUGGCUAUGAAACCCUUGUGUUGUAUCCCUUGAGGUCGUCGGUGUGAUCGACCUGAAGCAGAUCGUCAUUCGGUUUUCUCUUUGCUUUUUCAUUUCUUCCUUUUGCUUCCGGCUGAAUAAUGCCUGAAACUUGCCUCCUCUCUUUCUUCGACCACCUUGCAAGGGUUCCUUUCCUCUUCCACUCGGAACAUCAAGAUUGGCCACCCUACCCCUCUGUUUGUUUGUUUGGAUUGCUAUCUCUUUGGUUCUCUGUUGAUUGGAGCUCGACGGAGCUCAGGAUUCGACGCACUAGCCUAUUCGACUGGUGGUUGAAGCCGCUUUGAUGGCCACGGGUUCUUCCUUCAUCGUCGGUUCCGUUCUGCUCCUUAGAAAUUGAUGGUGAUUUUUUUUUGGGGUUGUCACAGCAUGGUCUCUCUCCAAAGGUGUUACAUGCGAACGAGAAGUACAUCUGUUGCCUUUGCCUUCAGCUACUCCAACGUUCCUUGGCGCUCUCCCCAAUGAUGGCAACAAUGGUGUUCUACAGGCUAUGGUUGGGUUUCUAUGGCCCAUUUCAAGCCCAUGGGCUUCUUUGUGUAUUUGUGGUUUUUUUUUCAUAAUCUAUUUCCUAAUGAAAAAUAGAUGUUUGCUAUAAGAUAUAUGUAAACUUAGGGUGUUGGCAUAA